UUAGUCACCGGCAACCUUAUUUCCAUCUAUGCCCUCUGGUUUUUCUUACAAGUUACAACCAUAUCUCUAGAUCUCAAGUCUCUUCAUCUUCUUCAAUUAAGCAUCAACCAUAUCUCUAGAUCUCAAACUCAUCAAGCAAUAUCAUUUAAUAGACUAUAAACUCCAAAAUCAAUCCUGAACUUUUUCAUACAAAUCCAAAAACACCCUUUUCAUACAGCCCAAAGUUUGCAACUUUUUCUUACAAUCUUGAACGGUGAUAAUAACUUUUAGGUUAGAAUCUUUAAUUUGUUUGGAUAUCUCUCCAACAGUGUGCCGAGGAUUAACUGUGGUGACAAUGGCACCAAGGGCUAUGAUGGAGUACACUGUAACACUGUAUUGAAUUGAAUUUGGGGCGAGGAUGAGAACAACGUCGGUUUUGGUGAUGCCAGUUGGGUGUUGAAGGUGUGUGAGAGUUUAGCGACGGUGGUUUUGAAUUGGGAAAAGGUGAUCUUGAGAUCUGGAUAUCGUUGAUGCUUACUUGAAGAAGAUGAAGAUAUAUGGAUGCAAUUUAUUUAUUUAUUUAUUGAAGGAUUUAUAAGUAGGUUGGUGAAUUGACACAAAUGCCCCUCAUGUGAGAGGCACAUGACUAGUUUUAACCGAGUAAAUGAAUAAAUUAGUGAUGAGGGCCAAAAGGGUUAGAAAAAAGACGUUGGAGGCUCAGAUAUUAAAAGAUUUCUUUUUAUCUUAAAAGGGUAAAAGUGAUAUAAGCACGGGUCAAAAUCAUAAUUUAUUCUAAUAUAAGCUUUUUCUUACUUUAAAGUUAUAUUCCGUCAUUAUAAAUACUCUUUUAUUUUGUUAAGCCCUAGCCGCCCUAACACAACUUCUCCACAAUCGUACCCAGUCACAUACCUUUUUCCGACCACCGGCCGGCCGUCAUCAUCCACCACGCCGGAGCUCAACCAGUCAAUCGUCAGUAUCCCACUCGCUAGGAUUAUGCAGUAUCUAUUUGGUGAUAAUAAUGGUGGUGGCAACUUGUUAUCAUCAGUUACAGAGGUGAGUGUUGCAUUCAAAGUUUUUGAUGAUGGAAUGAGAAAUACAAGAUCUGAUAAGGUGAACAAACAUUCAUGUGUCGUAAAUUGUGGUCAGCGUAUAACAUGAGUUUAAAGUGGACUAGACUACCUUCAUAAUGGUGUUAGCGGGAUUGAACUACCUUCACAUGUUUAUUGACACUCAAUACAAAGUCAUACAUCGUGAUGUCAAAAGCUCUAAAUCUCAGUUUCAAGUUAGGGACAGGUAUACUCUAUAUUAGAUGCAAAGAGUCAAGAAAACGAUAAGUGUUCAGUCCGCAUUGAAUUACAUUCACAUUUGUGUUAUUUUAUAACACAAGUUAUGCAUCGUGACAUAAAGAGGUCAAGUUAUUGACAUUGACAAAGUAAAUAUAUAUUUACUAGCCACACUUCAAAAAGUUUGCACAAGCGUUUGUAACCCUAAGUAAAUAUAUAUUUACUAGCCACACAACAAUGACCAGGCAAAAGAAAAUUUUAAUGGUCUAUUUUUACUAGCUGUACAGGGCCCCUAAGGGGACCUUAGGUAAAAAAAAUCAGGAUACUCCUGAAUUUAUCUUCUA